UCAUUACGGGCGUCCCAACUAGCUCCGGGCAAAGGCCUUUUAAACGUGAAAGAAGGAAGCAACGCUGAACGCGGAGCUGAACCGUCAGCCUAAAGGAUAGAUGAAUGAUGUAGCCGAGUCUAGACCUGUUGUUGCCCGUGGAUACAAAAUCCCCAGAGGAAAAUAAGCCGGUGUCGAUUAGCGAUGCCUGCCGCGGGAAUCCUUGAGGAGAGGGAAGGACCCCGGCCUCGCUUCGCCUGCCCUGGAGCCGUGUAUUGAGGGCCUGGUUUCCUCUCUCUCUUUUUAGAUGCGGGGAAGUUCGCGCUUCUCGGCGCUCGAUUGGCCGUGUCUGUCCGGUCCACCGUGUUGAUGUCCGGGAGGGAGGGAAGAUGGCGGCGGUAGCUGCUGGUGGCCUAGUGGGCAAGGGACGGGACAUCAGUUUGGCGGCCCUGCAGCGCCACGACCCCUAUAUCAACCGCAUAGUGGACGUGGCCAGCCAGGUGGCCCUGUACACUUUCGGCCAUCGGGCCAACGAGUGGGAGAAGACUGAUGUAGAAGGAACCCUGUUUGUUUACACAAGGUCAGCUUCUCCGAAGCAUGGAUUCACCAUUAUGAAUAGGCUGAGUAUGGAAAACAGGACUGAACCCAUCACUAAAGACCUGGAUUUCCAACUUCAGGAUCCUUUUCUUCUUUAUAGGAAUGCCAGAUUGUCCAUUUAUGGAAUUUGGUUUUAUGAUAAAGAAGAAUGCCAAAGAAUUGCAGAACUCAUGAAAAGCCUGACUCAAUAUGAGCAACUGAAAGCACAUCAGGGGGCUAGAGCAGGAAUCUCCCCAAUGAUCCUCAAUUCAGGAGAGGGCAAGGAAGUUGAUAUCUUACGAAUGCUCACCAAGGCCAAAGAUGAAUAUACCAAGUGUAAAACCUGUUCUGAGCCAAAGCAGAUAACCAGUUCAUCUGCCAUCUAUGACAACCCCAAUCUGAUAAAGCCAAUUCCAGUGAAGCCUAGUGAAGGCCAGCACCAGCGCGUCCCUCAACAAGGCCAGAAUUUAGAUCCUGAACCACAACACUUAUCCUUGACUACACUCUUUGGAAAACCAGAGAAAUCCAGUUAUCAGGAAGUUACAGAGCAGAAAUCACAACUGCUGCAACCAACAAUAACAGCACCACAGCACCAACAAGAGAAACCUCUCAUCAGGCAAGGGGUAGUACGUUCCCUGUCCUAUGAAGAACCCAAAAGAAAUUCACCAACCCCAGAGAAGCAGCUUUGUCCGGCCAUUCAGAAACUCAUGGUCAGGGGCACAGAUCUCCAUCCGGUGUCAGAGCUGCCAGAAACCCGGCUAUGUGAAAAUGGCAGCAUUCACCCUGUAGGAGAGGUUUUCACUGGUCUUUUCCAACCAGUGAGCCCACAUAGCAUUGGGACAUCUCACAGAGUACAAAGUACAUCUGGAGCUCAGAGCCUCUUAGAGAAACUUCAAGGCACCCCUGGAUCAGUGAGCAAGUUAGAGCCCAGUACAGCUGUGCCUGCUAGUUCAACUGCACCAAUUUUCAGCAGGACUUCUGCUCCUGCUGCCCCUGCGGCACAGAUGAAGGGUGUGGGCCAGCCACAGCUGGUGUACUUCAAUGGCUCUCUUCCACCUCAGACUGUGGAGCCUCAGACUCUUAGAAAAGAUGAGUCUAAAGUUUCGAGGCAAACCCUUCCCCUCUCUGGCAACCAAGCAAGCAGCUCUGGAGUGAUCUCCCCUCAAGAGCUGCUGAAAAAGCUCCAACUUGUACAGCAGGAGCAGCAGCUGCAGGCGUCUAACAGACCUGCCUUAGCCGCUAAGUUUCCUGUAGUUACUCAGAAUGCUAGGACUCUGAAACCCUUGGAAUCCUGGAUUGACAAGACAUCUAGUGCAGAAAGACAGACCCCUCUUUUUCAGGUCAUCUCACCUCAACGCAUUCCUGCUACCGUGGCUCCUUCCCUGCUGAUGUCCCCAAUGGUGUUCACUCAGCCUACACCUUCCUCAACCAAGGUCAGUGAGAGUGGGUUGUUGCCACUAGGAAGCAAAGAACCCAGCGCUGCUGCUCCCAGCCUUCUUCUGCCUAUCCAGAACCCAGAGAUGUCUGUGAUUCACAACAACUUGCUGACCAAACUACAGCUUCAGGAAACCCUUCUGCACCUCAUCCAGUGUGGAUGACUAGGCCAAUCUCUUCUGAGUGACUGUGGAUCUCAUUGAGGAAGCCAUGUGGUGGUCGGGGGUUUGAUGCAAUCAGCACAAUGUUAUCUGGAAAAAGGAGCAUCUGGAGAACAUUGCCAUGGAUAGAAUGAUGACAAUUUCCUAAAUAUAAUCUAUGAAGCUUAUCUCUUCAGUGUCACACAAGCAGCCAUGAAAAAGACUACGAUGUAAAAAGAAAGCUUUCUUAACUGAUGAUUUCCAAGGGACUUUCAGAAUUCCAGCAAACCAAGGUUCUCCUAAUGUCAAGUGUUAUUACAUUAAAAUGUUUGUGCAUUUUUUAAAGUGUGUAUACUAUUAUGAAAUAAAAUGUCCUGGACUUUUUAUGCACAGUCAAUUUUUUCAUUGCAUAAUGUAGUACACACUGUACAGAGAAAUGAGUAGGUAGGAAAUAUCUUUUAUUCAACUUACAUGUUAAUUUUUUCCCCCAAUAUGAGGCCACUGUUAGAACAAGCCUCUCUGUAGGAAGGGUUGUUCUAUGAGUUUAGUUUCCAUUUUAUAUGUAGAAUUAGCUAUUCAUCAAAUAGUAAUUUCCACAUGGAGGGUGCAUAACCAAUAACCCAUUGCUUGCACCCCUUUUAUAUAGCAUGCUGUGGAGUGACUAGCCACCAGAUGGCAGUGUUAUUCCACAGAUUGACCCUAAUGAACUUGAAGUAAUGGUCUAGCUUCUUCUAAUACAGCAAAUCUUUCAUUUGUAAGGAUUAGGACCAACUUUACCCAGACUUUGAAGGAAAAUUAUUUCCUUUUAAACAAAAUGGUAUUUAUAAAAGCUUUCUGGACUAAAUUUCCAGCAAUGUCUCAUUUUUUCCCCCAGCUUUCAUCAUUUUUAAGGUGUCUAAAGAGCAAGAUUUGCUUGUCUGUUCUUCCAAACAUUUUAUCAUUUUAAGCAAUAUAAAAAUCAAAUGAGAAAAAGACUAUAGAGUUUUCUAAACCAUUUUCUUAGUUUCCUAGAAUAAACAGAUGAUGAUAAUUUUAGGAAUUAAACAAUAACAGAAUAAACCAAGGGUCCUUAGCCUGUGGUUCAUGAACUUUAAAAAAUAUGUAUUUUGAUAGCUCUGUUUCAAUAUAAUUGGUUUCCUUUGUAACCUUUUGUAUUUUAUGUAUUUAGAAGCAUAGCUUCACUAGUCUGCCACAGGGGUUCAUGACAUAAAAAAUAUUUAAGAACCCUUUCUCUAAACCAUGUAACAAAAUUACCUUUAUUUCCACAGAAAUUGGAAGCUUAUUCUUGGAAGAAGUUGAGAGAGCCCUUGUCAGUUUGUUUAAGCCCACAGAGUAUGUCAGAAAAAUUGGUCCCUUUUGGUCAUUAGUAAUAAAAUUUUGCAUUUAUAGACGUUUUUCUUCUAGAACUAUGAAAUAAACUUUGGAUAUUACCGAACAACAACCAGACUUUCACAUCUUACUGGUGGUAAAGAAUAAAAGGGUAUUAACGUUUCUAACAACUUGUGACUCAUAAUCUUG